CUCGUGAGCGUUCUGCAUAGCCAGAACCGCCGGCAUCACUUCUCAGGUUCGCCAGUCCGGCCGUCCCUUCCCUUAGAGCAAUUCCAAAAGGUGACUAAAACAUACCCAAAACCCGUUUUAGACAUGGAAACAAAAAAAGUUUCCCAUACAACAGCUCCCCCAAGUUCUGCCAAAAUAUCCGGCAUCCCGCAUCCGAGUGCCACCCUCCCGCAAAUUUACGCGACGCGAUUUUCCCCAAUCCAUCCAUCCAGUGGCGCAUGCGGUUCACCAGACGCUAGGAGGAUGUUUGUAGCACGCGAAAUUGACGAGGUACACCAGCCACGGGCGCUUGAGGUAAUACAAGUAGUAGUAGCAGUAGCACCGCGGCGAGCCGCGCGAUGCCGGUGAGCGGUCGAGCGAGUAGAGCUUGUCCUUGCCGACGAGGAGGAUGCUGCCAUGGCGAGGAACGGCGGCGCAAGCGCGAGCUAGACACAUGAGGAGGUCGUGGGGAUGGCAUCGGAGACAAGCCGAUGCAUACAUACUUGAGGUGACGUCGUGCGCAAGGUUCAACGAAGUUUGUUUAAAAGUUUUAAGUACCUGUACCUGGCGUAUGGAGGUGGCGACAACUGUCUCCCAGUUGCGCUACCCAAAAUGUGGGGAGAGUGAGCGAGCGAACACACGCGAGGUGAACAGGAGAAGAAAGGCAAGCGGUGAACAUGAGUUCUGAUGCGGUGGCCGGUGGCAGCCUGCAGAUCGACGGUAUUUCAGUGUGUCGGCACCAAAUCACGGCACUCCAGCGAACUUUUUCUGAUGCGCCCAUACCGGCUACCGCAGUUUCCCAUCUGUUCCGAGUUAUAAGUGAUUUUAACUAAAUUAUAAAUUACUUUAGCCUUCCUGAAAGAGUUCGAAGACUCAAGAGUAUUUUAACCAAAUUUAUGUAAUAAAAGUGUCAUUUAUUAAUUAUAUUUCAAAGUGAUAACUAUUUGGUGUCAUAAAUGUUAUAAGUUUGACUGUUGAUAUGAUUUGACUCCCCCCACCCCCAAAAAAAGAAUAAAUUAUACUUUAGAACAAAGAGAGUAGUAGUACAAAGAAAGCAGCAGACGUCAUGAAGAAAUGCCCCGGCCGGCAUUGCUACUUUUCCUCUUUGUUCCAGCUUAUAUUCCCCUCUUUACAGAAGCCUCCCAAUCUACCCAAGCAUCUACCACCUACCCAUCACCCAAGUACCGACAACCUAAAUGCUGCACCCACACAUACACAGACGAACACAACCACUUGCAUUGCAUGAACAAGAGUUCCCUACAGGCUUCUCUAUACCGUUCUUCAAAACGCCUCAUCAAAUGGAACCUUUUCAGUCACCUACUCAUCGCUAAUCCUACAGUACAGUCAGAUAAAA